rnacentral:sRNA from 1 species
AUGCACAACUUCUCUCCACCUUAUUGCGGGUAACAAACAGAACAAUAUCUAUGGUUAAUCUUUUUUGUUUUUGUUUUUGUUUUGGUCCCCUUUUGAUACAAUUUCUUUUCCUUGGUAACAGUGAAGAAAAAAAUGCUGUUGCAGCUUGCUCUUGCUGGGAAAGUGGUAUACCUACUGACACUCAUUGUUUUGCUACUUUUUUUUUUUGUAUUUACGAAAGUGGAAACGUAAUCGCGGAGGUGGUCGCCGCCAUGUCCAAACUACCAACCGUGUCAACGUCGUCCGUGGUGAUAAUGGAGGCGAAACCAUCAGGGGUCAAAUUGCUAGGAAAUUCCGUGCCAAUGUUGCCGUUGGUGAAGUCGGUGAUACAACGGGCGGUCAAUACUCUGGGGAAGUCCGUUUCGAUGUUGCCGGUGAUGAUGACGGCGGUACCAUUAACGGCGAAAUUGCUAUGGGUCCAACUUCACUUGCUGCCACUAUGCCUUUCGAAUUUAAUUAACUAUAAAGUUUUUAAGUUUUUUUUUUUUUUUAAAGUCUAGUGUGGUAUUUGGCGGCUUGGCGCUGUUUAUUUUAGCUAAAAAGGGUGGGUUAUGUUUUGCAAUUUUUUCCUGUGUAAUGUGUUACGUGUAAGAAUAUAGUCAACGUGAAAGUGUCUACCUCACGUUAGACCAUUUUUUUUUCCUUAUUACCGCCUCUUGAAGAUUAGUGUUACGUGUAAGAAUUCUGGUUAUUUAUGCAUAAUUUUUGUAAUUCUUCGUCUGAAUGGAACCAAUGGGUAAUUGUCAUUGAACAGAUGCAAUAAUUUCACUAUGCUAUGAGCUGAUCUGAUUGGCCAAUUCAUUAUCACAAAUUCCACAUCUGAAUAGUAUUUAAUUAAGACGGGUUUUGCUUUUAUCCGAUCCGAAUUGCGGUAAUUUAAAUAUUAAUGACAUGUCUCAUCUUAAAAUGACAUCAUAUUUUUGGAAAAUGCUAAACGUUUCUUAAGCACUUUUGUCUAAAACAGCGCUUCCAAAAAUUUUUGGAAAGUCAAAGUUAUGUUCCGCCCAACCUUAUGAAUCUCUCUAUGUCUAUCAGUCUCUCAAAAUCUCAGUACACCGAUUUUCACCGAGUCAGCUCGGAAUUCCAAUAUUAUUGCAGGACAUAGAGAAUCUGUAAUGGCCUAUUUGGAUGGAAGAGCAUGGAGGAGGGCAGAAGAGAAUAGAGUAGACUUGGCUAAAAUUAAGUCAAUUGUGUGUUAAAUCUUCUCUACUCUCUCUCAAUUCAAAUGGACAAUAAGAUAUCAUCAUUUUACUGAAUUUAUUGCUGGAAUUUGUUUAGUAUUCUAUGUUUGAUUAUUUCGGCGGGAUCUCUUUGGUUUUGGGUUGAUUUCGUUUUUGUAACUAUGAAGUUAUGCGAUUUUGAUUGGAAACUAUGAAUUUCUUUUCGGUAGUUAUGUGCGUGGAAUUGGUGUUGAGGCGAAAUUAGAUUGCAUUUGCUAAUUUGAAUGGUUGACUUUUUCGAAAAUGUUUCGCUUUAGAAACAAACGCGCUACUUUUCAAUUCAAUUCUUUUUAAAGGCUUCAUUUUUAUUAUCGUUUUUGAUUUUUUGGUGUUCAGAUCUGAGACCGGAGCGAAGCGUUUUUCCGUGAAGCCAUGGCUGUGGCGUGUCUCGAUCCUAUGUAUUAAUCUGUUAUGGAUUUUUUUCUCUUUCGGAAAUUUUUUGUGAGGUAAAGAUGUGUUUGGAGUUUGGUUGCCCAGAAAACCGUCUGGUAAAAGAAAUUUUUUGUUUUUGAAUCGAAAUUUUUGUUUUUGCUGCUUGCUUGAUGUCAAUUUAAAUCUCUGAAGUUUCUAAAGUUUUACAUUUCAAAUGAAUAGUUUUCUUUUUUGCACUUGUAAUAAAAAAUUUAUUUUGAUUUGAAGCUUCUGGUUCUGUGUUAACGGCAGAGGGAGAAUGGCUCAACCGUUGCACAUUUUCUAUAAUCAGUGUCCUUUAUUUUGGUUUCUAUAGAAUUGUAUUACUAAAAUCGCAUACCACUAAUAUAUAUGUAGCGUUUGUGAUUAUCUGUACUACUGAUCGCAGGUUCGUUUUAUAAAAUGCUUUUCUAAUAAAUCUGUUAUUAUUGUAGGUUCCUGUGUUGGAAACGCCUCAUGAUUCAGGAUUUGAGAUUGAGAGCAAUGCUAUAGCACGUUAUGGUAAAGACUAUAGACUUUCUUUCCCUAACCCAUUAAUUUUGGCGAUCCUCUGAAGAUGGUUAUGUUGGAACUUAUGGGCUUUUUAUCUGUUGCUGCAGGCACUCGCUUGAAAGCUGACAAUCCUCUAUAUGGCUCUUCUCAUGUUAUGUUGGAACUCACGGGCUUUUUAUCUGUUGCUGCAGGCACUCGCUUGAAAGCUGACAAUCCUCUAUAUGGCUCUUCUCAUAUUGAUUAUGUGAGACUGUUAUUACUACUGAUGCUACUCUCUCUCUCUUUCUCUCUCUCUCUCUCUCUCUCUCUCUCUCUCUUUGUGAAUGCGUGUGUUAUGAUGCUUAUUAUUAUGUAUGCUUGAAUUUUCUGGUCCACAUAGAGCAGUGGAUUGAUUUUGCAUGCUAAUGUUCUAACAUGGUUUAUACCUAGAAUUGGACAUGCACUGUACGUUCCUCCAGUGAGUUACACCUUAAUUUAUUAUGGAAUUGUUCUAUUUCCUUUUUGCCAUUAAAUGAUGACCAAGCUUUAUGGAAAACUUAGAUGAAGUGUAAAAGGAAUGAAGUGAGGAAUUUUUUAUCUUGAUGUAAAAUAAAAAUCAAUGUGUGAGUUCAAAAUCACUUUUGACAUUUUGUAAUUCGAAUCUAGACUCAGGUUAUAAAACUAGAUCAUGGAGUUAAAAUUUGCGGGCAUGUCUCUCCAAUGCCAGAAAAUUAACCUUUUUCCUGGAAAAUUUGUCUCUCUCAACCCCACCUCUGUCUUCUAGCUCUAGUUUCAUAGAGAAGUUGUAAGAGCUCUGGAUUUCACUUAUUGCUGAGAUUUGUUUAGUAUUUUAUGUUUGCUUAUUUUUGUGUGUUGGGGGGGGGGGUUGGUUCUUUGUUGGGAUACACACACAAAAUCUGAUUUCAAUUAAAUUCUUUUUAAUGGUUUCAUUUUUGUUUUUCAAUUAAAUUCUUUCUAGAGGCUUCAAUGCCUCUGGCAAGUAAGGAUUGAUAGUGAAUUCAUUGUCAAUUCAUCCCUCUGUUAUUCGCUUUUGCCCUGUUUGUCUUCUCUGGGCUUGCUUUUCUUUGGAUUAUUUGUGUUUCAGAUUGUUUCCCCGUCUCUGUUGUGUUUCCGUUUUCGUAUCAGUCCUCUUCUUAUUUAUCUUUCACUUUGUUCCCUUAGUCUUCUUCGUCAAUCCUCUUUUUGUUUCCUGUUUAUAAGUUCUCUUCAUAUUUUCUGUUUUCGUUAGUCUUACGAAUUUCAAUCAUCUUUUACAUCGUGUUGAUUUUGUCUUGACUUAUUAUUUGUUCUUGAUCCAUGUGCAUACUUUACGAUUUUAAUUUUUUUUUCCCUUGGUUAGUGUCUGACAGCCACUUUCAACCAAUUCAUUAUUAAAUUUUAUUGCUUCUACUUGGGUGUGCUAGCACGCCAAAUCCUCUGGCUCUGCAUGUUAAGGGCAGCAGGAGACUGGCUCAACUGUAGCACAUCUUUGUGGUAAAGAUGUGUAAUGUGUUUGGUUGCCCAAAAAACUGAUUGGGAAAAGAAAAGUUUUGUUUUUGAAUUUUAUUGAAUCUGACUAAUUAUGACCAUAUUUCGUUAGCCUUGUUAGUUAGCAAUUACUAUAAAAUUGGUCACAAAUCUGAUUGCUUUGCAUAUAUUGCUGCUUGUUUGAUGUGAAUUUCAAUUUUUGAAGUUCUUAAAGUUUUGCAUUUCAGAUCAAAAGAUUUUCCUUUUUAUUUUUAUUUUUUUGAAGAUACAAUGAAAAAUUCUUUAUUUAUUUCUUUUUUAAAUAUCUUGGUUUAAAAUUGUUUAGUAUUCUGACCCAAUUUAGGACUAAGGAUUCUGAAUUUGAUGGUUCUAACGUGCCAAUGAGGUCUGGCUCAAGUGGCAGUUCCUUGUCCCAUAUGAAUGUCGUGGAUGCUUGUGUAUCUUACCAAUUAAAUAAAAUAAUAAUAAAGAGAGAUAAUAUUGCUUUAUCUGGGUGUGCUACCACACCAAAUCCUCUGGUUCUGGAUGUUAAGGGCGGAGGGAGAUUGGUUGAACCGUGGCACAUUUACUAUAGCCAGUGUUCUUUAUUUUGGUUUUGAUAGAAUUGUAUUACUCUCUUUUUUCCCCAAUUAAAGGCUGCAUUUGGAUGCUUAUAAUUGUGAAAAUCCCUAGUGUGCAUAUGCAACUACAGGAAACCACCGUUGAAUCCAUUAACCCAUCACAAUUGAUUAAUCUUGUUUGUUUCUGGAUUGAAUGCAUUUGUAAUUUGUUGCUCUUCCUUUGCUAAUAAGGCUGUAUGAUCUAUAUUGCAGAUCUUGCAUGCAGUGAAGACAAAGAAAAAUUCAUACAAGACACUUAUCACUGCAGAAUACACCUCUGUAAAAGUUGAACUGGCCCCAAAUUUUGAGAUGGGUGUCUCUAAUAAACCUCUUGAGUUUAUCAAGAUGAAACCUACUGGGAAGGUAUAGUUCUAUAUUGUAAAAUUUGCGGUAAUCUAUACUCCACUAAUUGCAUGUUAGUUUUAUGAAAGGCUUUCCUAAUAAAUCUGUUACUCUUGUAGGUUCCCGUGGUGGAAACACCUGAUGGUCCAGUAUUUGAGAGCAGUGCCAUAGCACGUUAUGGUAAGACUAUAGACUUUCAUCCCCCACCCAUUAAUUUUGGUGAUCCUCUAAAGAUUGUUAUUUUGGGACUUAAUGAGCUUUUUAUCUGUUGCUGCAGUUACUCGCCUGAAGCCCUGAAGGCUGACAAUCUUUUAUAUGGUUCUUUUCAUAUUGAUGAUUGAGAUGUUUAUAACUACUGAUGGUGAUCUCUCUUUCUGCAUGUGCGUGUGUUAUGAUGCUUAUUGUUACAUAUGCAUAAAUUUUCAGGUCCACAUACAGCAGUGCAGUGGAUUGAUUUUGCAUCAUUUGAGAUUGAUGCUAAUAUUCUAGCAUUUUAUAGACCUAAAAUUGGACGUGCAGUAUACCUUCCUCUGGUGAGUUGCAUCUUAUUUUAUUAGGGAAUUGUUUUAAUUCUUUUUUGGCAUCUAAAUGAUAGUGUAAAAUCAAAAUUAAUGCAGGCUAUAUAUAUCCAGAUCAAAUUCUGUUUUGAUUAA